UGGGGAAUUUUGGACAAUGGGCGAAAGCCUGAUCCAGCCAUGCCGCGUGAGUGAAGAAGGCCUUCGAGUUGUAAAGCUCUUUUAGUCGGAAAGAAAGAGUUGCAAUGAAUAAUUGUGAUUUAUGACGGUACCGACAGAAAAAGCACCGGCUAACUACGUGCCAGCAGCCGCGGUACUACGUAGGGUGCGAGCGUUAAUCGGAAUUACUGGGCGUAAAGGGUGCGCAGGCGGUCUUGCAAGUCAGAUGUGAAAGCCCCUGGCUUAACCUUGGAAUUGCGUUGGAAACUACAAGGCUAGAGUGCAGCAGAGGGGAGUGGAAUUCCAUGUGUAGCAGUGAAAUGCGUAGAGAUGUGGAAGAACACCGAUGGCGAAGGCAGCUCCCUGGGUUGACACUGACGCUCAUGCACGAAAGCGUGGGGAGCAAACA
rnacentral:rRNA from 1 species